CGUCUUCCCCUUUUUCAACAGAAAUUACCUCCAGUGAAUUCAAAGCUUCAAAUUUAGACCCUUCCAAUCUUGUAGCCGUGAUUUUCACCUUUUGAGAUCGAGCGUCAGCCUGAUUCCACUUGGAUUUACGCUCAACGAUCAUCCAUGGCCCGAAUUAUUGCCCCGUCACUGUCGAAUUAAAUUUCUUGGCCAAUGACUUGGAGACUCUUCCUUUAUUAGCGUCUAUAUUCUGAUCUACUAAUGUAAAUGGACAAAGACCUUUCAAAUGACCAUAACGGCCACAGGUGAAGCAAACGGCUAGUAAAGCUUCAAACUCAACUCUCUGAACUUUCCCAUUAACCAAAAUUUGAGAGAGCAACCCCGGUAACCUAGGAAAGUGGAUCCAAGCCAGAACCGUGCUUGGGAAGGGUUUCAGAGGAUUAAAAUCCAUUGAUCAUGGUUGAACGAUAAGGUAAUGGCCGAACACAAGCCAUGGAGCUUGCGUCAAAACCAUUUCAUAAUUUGUUUUGUUUUGAAAUCUUACUAGAUAGUAUCUGUUCUCUACAUCCAUGAGGUGGAACAGUUCGGUAGGUUUUCAGAGACUGAAAAUCUGAUUCAAAAGGACUCCGUACCCUAUGUUGCACCCCAGCAAUUUAACCAUAACUGUCGAGUCCAUGUCCUUAACCAGUAGCUUCUGAAUUUGUUCAGAGAAGUCAAUGGUCGGGAUUUCGUUGACAGUAGAUCUUGAGAUAUCACCAUCUUCAGAAUCAAAUUCCUCAUCAGUACAACCUUCCAGAGUCAUAGGAGAAGCAAAAGAACCAACGGCUCUCCCUUCCAACAACUUGUCCUUCCAAGAGGUUCUAGGCACUGGGACAGAAUCAACCACCAUAUUUUCCUCAAGGUCAUCACCUAUUUCUUUGAAUCUGACCUUAUUUGUGUUACAAUCCUCAUUGAUUCCAUCUCCAUCUCCUUCACGAUCAUCGAUUGAGAUUACAAUAUCAGACAUAAUCCAGAGAGCAAGAGAACCUUAAGAUAUAAUAUUAUUGUUCUUCGUAUUGAAAGCAUGAGGUAUCACUUGUUUCAAUUUAGAUUUUGAAAAUAAGUGUAAUAUGUAUUCUUAUACUUUAAAUUUAGUUUGAUUUUAUGUUAUUAAUUAUGAUUUUGUGUU